rnacentral:rRNA from 1 species
GACGAACGCUGGCGGCGUGCUUAACACAUGCAAGUCGAACGGAAAGGCCUCUUUCGGGGGGUACUCGAGUGGCGAACGGUUGAUUAACACUUGAUUAACCUGCCCUUGACUUUGGGAUAAUUUCAGGAAACUGGGGUUAUUACCGGUUAGGAGCUCUUGCUGCAUGGUGGGGGUUGGAAAUUUUCGGCGGUUGGGGAUGGACUCGCGGCUUAUCAGCUUGUUGGUGGGGUAGUGGCUUACCAAGGCUUUGACGGGUAGCCGGCCUGAGAGGGUGACCGGCCACAUUGGGACUGAGAUACGGCCCAGACUCCUACGGGAGGCAGCAGUGGGGAAGAUUGCACAAUGGGUGGAAGCCUGAUGCAGCAACGCCGUGUGCGGGAUGACGGCCUUCGGGUUGUAAACCGCUUUCGCUCAUGACGAAGCUUUGUGUGACGGUAGUGGGUAAAGAAGCACCGGCUAACUACGUG